rnacentral:rRNA from 1 species
AUUGAACGCUGGCGGCAGGCCUAACACAUGCAAGUCGAGCGGAUGAAGGGAGCUUGCUCCUGGAUUCAGCGGCGGACGGGUGAGUAAUGCCUAGGAAUCUGCCUGGUAGUGUGGGAUAACGUCCGGAAACGGGCGCUAAUACCGCAUACGUCCUGAGGGAGAAAGUGGGGGAUCUUCGGACCUCACGCUAUCAGAUGAGCCUAGGUCGGAUUAGCUAGUUGGUGGGGUAAAGGCCUACCAAGGCGACGAUCCGUAACUGGUCUGAGAGGAUGAUCAGUCACACUGGAACUGAGACACGGUCCAGACUCCUACGGGAGGCAGCAGUGGGGAAUAUUGGACAAUGGGCGAAAGCCUGAUCCAGCCAUGCCGCGUGUGUGAAGAAGGUCUUCGGAUUGUAAAGCACUUUAAGUUGGGAGGAAGGGCAGUAAGUUAAUACCUUGCUGUUUUGACGGUACCAACAGAAUAAGCACCGGCUAACUUCGUG